rnacentral:misc_RNA from 1 species
GAUGAAGAACGUAGCGAAAUGCGAUAAGUAAUGUGAAUUGCAGAAUUCAGUGAAUCAUCGAAUCUUUGAACGCACCUUGCGCUCCUUGGUAUUCCGAGGAGCAUGCCUGUUCGAGCGUCAUUUCACCACUCAAGCCUGGCUUGGUGUUGGGCGACGUCCUCUUUGGGGACGCGCCUCGAAACGCUCGGCGGCGUGGCACCGGCUUUAAGCGUAGCAGAAUCUUUCGCUUUGGAAGUCGGGGCCCCGUCUGCCGGAAGACCUGCUCGCAAGGUUGACCUCGGAUCAGGCAGGGAUACCCGCUGAACUUAAGCAUAUCAAUAAGCGGAGGA